GAAGUUAUAAAUAAUCAUGAGAAAAAUUCUAUCUUAGCCUUUAAGGCAGUUGCCGUUUUGAGGUAAAGAAACGAUCCAUUUUUAGAAUCGAUGCUCAAAGCAUUGUACAGCAUUCAAGGUUGAUUUAAGCUCCAUGCUGCAUACAAUUUUUGUAACAUGAUGAUGUAUAUAUGCAGCAGUUAUUUAGUUGAUUGAAAGUGAAGAUGUGAUGGAAAAUAAAACAUAUUAACAAGGAU
rnacentral:misc_RNA from 1 species